rnacentral:rRNA from 1 species
AGGGUGAAUGCUGGCGGUAUGGAUAAGGCAUGCAAGUCACGGGGGCCGCAAGGCAACCGGCAGACGAGGUAGUAACACGUAGGAACGUACCCCGAAGUCUGGUAUAGCUCGCCGAAAGGCGGGGUAAUCCCAGAUAGUCUCGUAAGAGUAAAGAUCCGUCGCUUCGGGAGCGGCCUGCGUAAUAUCAGCUAGUUGGUAAGGUAAUGGCUUACCAAGGCUACGACGUUUAGGGGAGCUGAGAGGCUGACCCCCACCGAUGAGACUGAGAACGGCUCAUACCCCUACGGGGGGCCGCAGCCGAGAAUAUUCGACAAUGGGCGAAAGCCUGAUCGAGCGAUACCGCGUGGUGGAUGAAGUGCUUCGGCACGUAAACACCUUUUAUGGAGGAGGAAGUAAUUGACGUUACUCCAUGAAUAAGGGGCUACCUAACUCUGUCGCCAGCAGCCGC